rnacentral:rRNA from 1 species
AGAGUUUGAUCCUGGCUCAGGAUGAACGCUGGCGGCGUGGAUAAGGCAUGCAAGUCGAGCGCCUACCUUCGGGUAGGAGCGGCAAACGGGUUAGUAACACGUAGAUACAUACCGCCGAGACGGGAAUAACCUAGAGAAAUCUAGGCUAAUACCCGAUAGUCCCUCACGGGUAAAGGCCCUUAAAAGCCACUCGGUGAAUGGUCUGCGGCCUAUCAGCCAGUUGGUGAGGUAAUGGCUCACCAAAGCUAUGACGGGUAGGGGGCGUGAGAGCGCGACCCCCAACAAUGGGACUGAGACACGGCCCAUACUCCUACGGGAGGCAGCAGUCGAGAAUAUUGGUCAAUGGGCGAAAGCCUGAACCAGCGACGCCGCGUGCAGGAUGAAGGCCUUCGGGUUGUAAACUGCUUUUCUGAAGGAACAACCCUUCGGGGUGAGCGUACUUCAGGAAUAAGUGGAUGCUAAUUCUGUGCCAGCAGCCGCGGUAAUACAGAAUCCACAAGCGUUAUCCGGAUUUAUCGGGCGUAAAGGGUCCGUAGGCGGUAAGACUAGUCUUUGGUUAAAUUCCCAGGGCUUAACCUUGGGGCUGCCAAAGAUACUAUCUUACUAGAGGGCGUUAGAGGCUGAUGGAACGGUCGGUGUAGGGGUGAAAUCCGUUGAUAUCGACCGGAACACCAAAAGCGAAGGCAUUCAGCUGGGGCGACCCUGACGCUGAAGGACGAAAGCGUGGGGAUCAAAAAGGAUUAGAUACCCUUGUAGUCCACGCUGUAAACGAUGGACACUGGCUAUCCGAAGUGUCGACCCUUCGGGUGGCGAAGCUAACGCGUUAAGUGUCCCGCCUGGGAAGUACGGCGGCAACGCUAAAACUCAAAGGAAUAGACGGGGAUUCACACAAGCGGUGGACCAUGUGGCUCAAUUCGACAACAAGCGAGGAACCUUACCAGGGUUUGACAGGCUAAUGAAACCCCAAUGAAAGUUGGGACUACCCACAAGGACAUUAGCCCAGGUGCUGCACGGUCGUCGUCAGCAUGUAUCUUGAGACGCACCCUUAAAUGGGGUAACAUGCGCAACCCCUACUCUGUGUUUUAUAUGUCACAGAGAACUGCCUGGGAUAACCAGGAGGAAGGUGGGGAUGACGCCAGAUCAGCGUGGCCCUUUGAUACCCUGGGCUGCACACAUGGUACAAUGGGACCGACAAUGCGUCGCGAAGGGGCAACCCGGAGCUAACCGCAACAAACGGUCUCUCAGUUCGGAUUGAGGUCUGAAACCCGACCUCACGAAGCUGGAAUCGCUAGUAAUCGCAUAUCAGCCACGGUGCGAUGAAUACGUUCCUGAAUCUUGUACUAACCGCCCGUCACAUUAGGGAAGCCGGCAGUAGCCGAAAUUCCAGUUUACUGGACCUAAGCUAAAGUCGGUGACAAGAAUGAAGUCGUAACAAGGUAACC